UUUCAGUAAUCACUGCCGAAGACAGUAGGUGCCGCAAGGCAUAAGGUGAAAACGCCUACCGAGGAGACUUGAAUUCUAACAUUGAAUUUAUGCGCCCGUUUGUCUUAGGAUAAAUGGGUUUUUCUAUUU
rnacentral:sRNA from 1 species